rnacentral:rRNA from 1 species
AUUGAACGCUGGCGGCAGGCCUAACACAUGCAAGUCGAACGAGUGGCGGACGGGUGAGUAAUAUCUGGGAAACUGCCCAAUGGAGGGGGAUAACUACUGGAAACGGUAGCUAAUACCGCAUACCAUCGGAUGUGCCCAGAUGGGAUUAGCUAGUAGGUGGGGUAAAGGCCCACCUAGGAAACGAUCCCUAGCUGGUUUGAGAGGAUGACCAGCCACACUGGAACUGAGACACGGCCCAGACUCCUACGGGAGGCAGCAGUGGGGAAUAUGGCACAAUGGGGGCAAGCCUGAUGCAGCCAUGCCGCGUGUAUGAAGAAGGCCUUCGGGUUGUAAAGUACUUUCAGCGGGGAGGCGUUACCCGCAGAAGAAGCACCGGCUAACUCCGUGCCAGCAGCCGCGGUAAUAC